GCUAGCCGCGGAGCCGGGGGACGAGGGGAGGCAUGGAGAGAGGCUGGCUAUCCUCUGCGGAGAGGGAGCCUUGGGACUACUGCUGAAGCAGCAGCAGCAGCGGGGCCUCAAUCGCCCCCAUCCUAAAUUAGGUACUUUAUUCAUGUUUGGUGACCUCUGACCAGAGUCCAACAAGAUAACCCCCACCCAAAAAAGACCUCCUACUUCCAAACUGUAUCCUGGAGAGCAGAGAAACAAAGAGCCAGGAAGAGGGGCAGCAAACAGCAGUUGUCAAAGACCACUGGACUGAAAGCUUUUUGGAGACCUAUGAAUGAAUAAACAAUCCUAUUCACUAAGUAUGAGGAGCAGCAGUCACCACAACCCUUCUGACCUUAUCCCACUUUAUCCAGGAUCACUGGGUAAGGGCUGGAAGGUACCUAAAAGGCUACCUCUUCC